UCGAGGAUCUUCGGCAAUGGGCGAAAGCCUGACCGAGCGACGCCGCGUGUGGGAUGAAGGCCUUCGGGUUGUAAACCACUGUCAACGGGGAGGAAAUGUAGGGGGGUACUCCCCUCUAUUUGACCUAUCUGUGGAGGAAGUACGGGCUAAGUUCGUGCCAGCAGCCGCGGUAAGACGAACCGUACGAACGUUAUUCGGAAUUACUGGGCUUAAAGGGUGCGUAGGCUGCGCGGUAAGUUGGGUGUGAAAGCCCUCAGCUCAACUGAGGAACUGCACUCAAAACUACCGUGCUCGAGGGAGACAGAGGUAAGCGGAACUCAAGGUGGAGCGGUGAAAUGCGUUGAUAUCUUGAGGAACACCGGUGGCGAAGGCGGCUUACUGGGUCUUUUCUGACGCUGAGGCACGAAAGCUAAGGUAGCAAACGGG
rnacentral:rRNA from 1 species